UGCCUUCCUAACGCAUCAACUGUGUUGGAAGAGUCCAGGCUACAGAGGGUGGUGUCCCACGGUUUAGGAAGGGGACUUGAAGGGUACAGGCACAUUUCCUGCACAUCCCAGAUGUUGGGAUGCUGUGAGCAUGGUGUGGUCCUGCUCUGUGAAUCCUCCUUGAGGUGGGCACACGCUGACAUCAGGGAAGAAAGCCCAGGCAAAGGUGGGCUCAAGACCGAGUAGGUCCAUGGCUCCAGUAACAGUCCACACCACCUAACCUUGUGUCAGCUGUAUCCUUCGGAGGGAACUUUGGAGUUACUGCCAUUUUUGAAAAUACCAUCUCUUUGGUGGGGUGAAUGUAAACACCUCCUAUGUCACAACUCUCCCUCAAGGACAUUCAUUCACCAGCUACCGAGUUUUCUAAAACUCAGACUCGAUUUUUUUAUUCUAUAUCAGAACAAGUACGUUGGAGAGAAGGAACAUCAGGGGAAGAAUGUCACUCCUCUAACAUCAAGCCAUGGAGCACACUGCUGCCAUGACUUCAGCUGUGGACAAUAACCUGGGUCAUCGCGUUGAGCUUGUAGAUGGUUCAUUUUAGAGCUGGAGCAGGAAGUAAACAGAGUAAGAUUUGGGCCUCUUGCACUGUAAGCAAGUACAUAAAAACAAAAUAAAGCAAAAUCCCACAAUGACAGGCAUGUCAGGGGC